rnacentral:rRNA from 1 species
UACGAAGGGGGCUAGCGUUGCUCGGAAUCACUGGGCGUAAAGGGUGCGUAGGCGGGUCUUUAAGUCAGGGGUGAAAUCCUGGAGCUCAACUCCAGAACUGCCUUUGAUACUGAAGAUCUUGAGUUCGGGAGAGGUGAGUGGAACUGCGAGUGUAGAGGUGAAAUUCGUAGAUAUUCGCAAGAACACCAGUGGCGAAGGCGGCUCUUUGGUCUGUAACUGACGCUGAGGCGCGAAAGCGUGGGGAUCAAACAGG